GAGUGGCGAACGGGUGAGUAACACGUGGGUAAYCUGCCCAGAAGUAGGGGAUAACACCUGGAAACAGAUGCUAAUACCGUAUAAUAGAGAAAACCGCAUGGUUUUCUUUUGAAAGAUGGCUCUGCUAUCACUUCUGGAUGGACCCGCGGCGCAUUAGCUAGUUGGUAAGGUAAAGGCUUACCAAGGCAGUGAUGCGUAGCCGACCUGAGAGGGUAAUCGGCCACAUUGGGACUGAGACACGGCCCAGACUCCUACGGGAGGCAGCAGUAGGGAAUCUUCCACAAUGGACGCAAGUCUGAUGGAGCAACGCCGCGUGAGUGAAGAAGGGUUUCGGCUCGUAAAGCUCUGUUGUUAAAGAAGAACGUGGGUGAGAGUAACUGUUCACCCAGUGACGGUAUUUAACCAGAAAGCCACGGCUAACUACGUGCCAGCAGCCGCGGUAAUACGUAGGUGGCAAGCGUUAUCCGGAUUUAUUGGGCGUAAAGCGAGCGCAGGCGGUCUUUUAAGUCUAAUGUGAAAGCCUUCGGCUCAACCGAAGAAGUGCAUUGGAAACUGGGAGACUUGAGUGCAGAAGAGGACAGUGGAACUCCAUGUGUAGCGGUGAAAUGCGUAGAUAUAUGGAAGAACACCAGUGGCGAAGGCGGCUGUCUGGUCUGCAACUGACGCUGAGGCUCGAAAGCAUGGGUAGCGAACAGGAUUAGAUACCCUGGUAGUCCAUGCCGUAAACGAUGAAUGCUAAGUGUUGGAGGGUUUCCGCCCUUCAGUGCUGCAGCUAACGCAUUAAGCAUUCCGCCUGGGGAGUACGACCGCAAGGUUGAAACUCAAAAGAAUUGACGGGGGCCCGCACAAGCGGUGGAGCAUGUGGUUUAAUUCGAAGCUACGCGAAGAACCUUACCAGGUCUUGACAUCUUCUGACAGUCUAAGAGAUUAGAGGUUCCCUUCGGGGACAGAAUGACAGGUGGUGCAUGGUUGUCGUCAGCUCGUGUCGUGAGAUGUUGGGUUAAGUCCCGCAACGAGCGCAACCCUUAUUACUAGUUGCCAGCAUUUAGUUGGGCACUCUAGUGAGACUGCCGGUGACAAACCGGAGGAAGGUGGGGACGACGUCAAAUCAUCAUGCCCCUUAUGACCUGGGCUACACACGUGCUACAAUGGAUGAUACAACGAGUCGCGAAACCGCGAGGUUUAGCUAAUCUCUUAAAAUCAUUCUCAGUUCGGACUGUAGGCUGCAACUCGCCYACACGAAGUCGGAAUCGCUAGUAAUCGCGGAUCAGCAUGCCGCGGUGAAUACGUUCCCGGGCCUUGUACACACCGCCCGUCACACCAUGAGAGUUUGUAACACCCAAAGCCGGUGGGGUAACCUUUUAGGAGCUAGCCGUCUAAGGUGGGACAGAUGAUUAGGGUGAAGUCGUAACAAGGUAGCCGUA
rnacentral:rRNA from 1 species